UACAGAGGGGGCAAGCGUUAUUCGGAAUUAUUGGGCGUAAAGGGCGCGUAGGCGGCUUUUCAAGUGAUGGGUGAAAUCCCUCGGCUUAACCGAGGAACUGCCUGUCAGACUGGGAGGCUUGAGACCGGGAGAGGUGAGUGGAAUUCCCAGUGUAGCGGUGAAAUGCGUAGAUAUUGGGAGGAACACCAGUGGCGAAGGCGGUUGCCUGGAGCUUUGCUGACGCUGAUGCGCGAAAGCGUGGGGAGCGAUCCGG
rnacentral:rRNA from 1 species